rnacentral:rRNA from 1 species
UGGCUCAGGAUGAACGCUAGCUACAGGCUUAACACAUGCAAGUCGAGGGGCAGCAGGAAUCUAGCUUGCUAGAUUUGCUGGCGACCGGCGCACGGGUGAGUAACGCGUAUCCAACCUUCCCCAUAGUAGAGGAUAGCCCGGCGAAAGUCGGAUUAAUACUCUAUGUUGUAUUUUUGAGGACAUCUGACGAAUACCAAAGAUUGAUCGCUAUGGGAUGGGGAUGCGUCUGAUUAGGUUGUUGGCGGGUAACGGCCCACCAAGCCGACGAUCAGUAGGGGUUCUGAGAGGAAGGUCCCCCACAUUGGUACUGAGACACGGACCAAACUCCUACGGGAGGCAGCAGUGAGGAAUAUUGGUCAAUGGGCGAGAGCCUGAACCAGCCAAGUAGCGUGCCAGGACGACUGCCCUAUGGGUUGUAAACUGCUUUUAUAGGGGAAUAAAGUGAGGCACGCGUGCCUUUUUGUAUGUACCCUAUGAAUAAGGACCGGCUAAUUCCGUGCCAGCCGCUGC